AACGCACGAGACCUGCGGACCUGCGGAGGGAUCAUUAAUGAGAAACUGCCCCUCGCGGGUAGAUCUCCCACCCUAUGUAAACUUACCUUUGUUGCUUUGGCAGGCCCGUCUCCGGACCGCCGGCUUCGGCUGGCCAGUGCCUGCCAGAGGAUUCUAAAACUCUGUCUGUCAGUGUUGUCUGAGUCUAUAUACAAUCGUUAAAACUUUUAACAAUGGAUCUCUAGAUCGGAAGAGCACACG
rnacentral:misc_RNA from 1 species